UACGUAGGCAGCGAGCGUUGUUCGGAGUUACUGGGCGUAAAGGGUGUGUAGGCGGUUGUUUAAGUUUGGUGUGAAAUCUCCCGGCUCAACUGGGAGGGUGCGCCGAAUACUGAAUGACUUGGAGUGCGGGAGAGGAGAGUGGAAUUCCUGGUGUAGCGGUGAAAUGCGUAGAUAUCAGGAGGAACACCGGUGGUGUAGACGGCUCUCUGGACCGUAACUGACGCUGAGACACGAAAGCGUGGGUA
rnacentral:rRNA from 1 species